GGAGAUAUAGCUCAGUUGGUAGAGUGUUUGCCUUACCUGCACAAGGACCUGGGUUCAAUCCCAGCACCACCA
rnacentral:tRNA from 1 species